UUGUCUUGCCAGCCCUGAGAACCCAGUAUUCCAUGUCCUGGCCACUGUGUUACUUAGGAGAGCCAAGCCACUGCUUUGAGGAGGGUUGGUCUGUUGAGUGGGAACUGUUUUCUCUUCCCUGUGGACUUGAUUGCUUGGACUGCCUCAGAUACCACCCCAGACCAAACAGUGCCAUGAAGAGGGGUGCAGAUGUCUUCCAGAGUGAGAGACAGAAGAAUCCACAAAUGCCCCCAGGAGAGGUGGACAAGGACAAAGACAGCCAUCUGGAGG